GACAUUGCAUUUUGUCACACGGAAAGGUCUUUGGAACUUCAGCAUCAUGCGUAUUUUGUUCUGCAAUCUCUGGAGCAUCGAGGCAGUACUGGCCAAUGCGGUGAACAACUAUGUUGAGCGUAACAGCGAAUGCCGUAGUGUGCGAGAGGCAGCUUCCUUUGUUCUCCCGCUUUCAAGUUUCACGGGAGCUUGUAAUAUCGUGAACUGGGUGUGAUGAAAGCAGCGGUGGCCUAUUCUAUGAACAGUCUGCCUCACACAUAUGUAAAGGACCUGGUGUCUCUACAACAAUGAAGAGCAGGGCAUAAACCAGAAGACGAAGACAUCGCUUGGACCUGCCAGUCAUGAAGCUGCUUCCGCAUCACACCAUCCAUACUUCGAAAGAA